rnacentral:rRNA from 1 species
AUAAUCCGGUUUUUUUGAUUGGUCGGCAAGGUGGCCCUUGAUCAAGCUACCGGGAGAGAUGAGCCGCGUCCCUUAGCUAGUGGUAGGGUAUGGCCUACCAGGCGACGAGGGUAGCUGUCUGAGAGGCGAUCAGCCCACUGGAACGGUACACGGCCAGACUCCACGGGAGGCGCAGUGAGGAUAUUGCGCAAUGGGGGAACCCUGACGAGCGAUGCCCGUGAGUGAGAAGGCCUUGGGUCGUAAGCUUUGUCAGUGGGAAGACAGCUUUUAGGCUAAUAUCUUAAGGUCGACGGU